rnacentral:tRNA from 1 species
GCAGGAGUAGCCAAGAGUUCACCUAGCUUUAGGUGGAAUGGAAGCCUGGUAAGGCGCUGACCAGAAGAGCCAGUUCCCCGAAAGGGGAGCACGGGUUCGAACCCCGUCUCCUGCGCCA